UCCGAAUUAUAUUCCGAUGUGUUCAACGGGUAAAGUUCUACUCAAAUGGAGGAAUACUCAAGAUGAAAGGGACGUAUUGUGUUGACAAGCCAGCUCGGAAAUCGGAAACGGUCGGAGGCACGCUCACACUAUCCGUAUACCAUCUUGGCAUAAUGGCUUGUAUAUUUUGAGUAUGGCAUGUAUAGCAUUAUAAUCAUUUUAUAUGUAUGGUCUUAUGAUAUGGUUA